rnacentral:rRNA from 1 species
GAUGAACGCUGGCGGCGUGCUUAACACAUGCAAGUCGAACGGAAAGGCUCCUGCUUGCAGGGGUACUCGAGUGGCGAACGGGUGAGUAACACGUGGGUGAUCUGCCCUGCUCUUCGGGAUAAGCCUGGGAAACUGGGUCUAAUACCGGAUAGGACGAUGGUUUGGAUGCCAUUGUGGAAAGUUUUUUCGGUGUGGGAUGAGCUCGCGGCCUAUCAGCUUGUUGGUGGGGUAAUGGCCUACCAAGGCGUCGACGGGUAGCCGGCCUGAGAGGGUGUACGGCCACAUUGGGACUGAGAUACGGCCCAGACUCCUACGGGAGGCAGCAGUGGGGAAUAUUGCACAAUGGGCGCAAGCCUGAUGCAGCGACGCCGCGUGGGGGAUGACGGCCUUCGGGUUGUAAACUCCUUUCGCUAGGGACGAAGCGCAAGUGACGGUACCUGGAGAAGAAGCACCGGCUAACUACGUG